GAGCGAGACAAUACGCAGCACCUCCAUACAUGUAGUGAUGCAACUGUUGUAUUAAGGUUUCAUAUAUUGUAUAUUUCUAGAAUUCCUUCAUCUGAGAGGGAAGAGAACCCUUAGACACUCGGGACAGGUCGGUCGGCGCUUCUACGGCAGCAAAGAAUUCAAGAGCUGAAGACUGACUGUAGCAGAGUUGUAGGGCUACCGUAAAGCGAGCACUCGACGGUUUCAUUAGAUGCGUUUGCAGAGAAGUAAAGCAUGACAACAUACUCCGCGGGGUAAAACGACGACAUUAUGUUUUGACGAGACGAAUGGCGUACAGAGGGAUCUAUCAUAGCGACCAGCUUUAAGCCCCCAAAAUUACAAACAAACUAAAGGCGAAGGAUCGAUAGAGAGUGUCUCACGGAAUGAUGAACUGGCACUUCGAGCAUCGACACUUUGACCUGUGAGAGAGAGGAGAGUCCUAUAAUGGCCCAUAGGAUAAGCAGUAAAAAAACAACUGAGGAGCAUCUGUUUGUGGAUCCAGUCCAUGUCAACCUUCAGAGCAACCAGACAUCUUCCCACUAACACAUCUGACUUCUGC